UAACGGUUCACCAGCGCGACGAUCGGUCGCUGGUCUGAGAGGACGAUCAGCCACACUGGGAUUGAGAACGAGCCCAGACUCCUACGGGGGGCAGCAGUGAGGAAUUUUCGUCAAUGGGGGCAACCCUGAACGAGCAACGCCGCGUGCAGCAAGAAGGUUUUCGGAUCGUAAACUGCUUUACUCGGGGAAGAGAACGGACGGUACCCGAGCAAUCAGCCCCGGCUAACUACGUGCCAGCAGCCGCGGUAAUACGUAGGGGGCAAGCGUUGUCCGGAGUUACUGGGCGUAAAGCGCAGGCAGGCGGUGCUCGGCGUUCUCACUGACAGUAAUUGGCAUAAUUGACGAAGGAGUGGGAAAACGGGAGCACUUGAGGGCUUCAGAGGGACACGGAAUUCCGGGUGGAGUGGUGAAAUG
rnacentral:rRNA from 1 species